AUAUAAGCAAAAUUGACUUUUUUAGGCUCAUUCAUUUAAUGAUGUAUGUGGUUUAUAAUAUGGACCACAUACAUCAUUAAAUGAAUGAACCUAAAAAGUCAAUUUUACUUAUAU
rfam:Medicago truncatula strain A17 chromosome 1, whole genome shotgun sequence.